CCGUGCGACGACGGUUACUUUGCCCGAGCUUAGAGCCAUGGAUGACUUGGCCGACGCGGCGGAUUGACGUGUGGCUCAUGUUCUGCCCAUUGCAUCCAGUGAGUCCGAUGAGGAAGCUGAUAUGGGUGCGCUGGCUUCCUCUCCGUUACGGAAGCCAAAUAAAGCUGAAUUCGUGGCGGGGUAUGCACAGAUUCUACAAUUACGAGAGAUCAGUUCGUUCGAGCGCGCCGAACGACACAAACAUUUGGUAACGCUGAUGUACCACGCACAGCUAUACGAAUGGGAGGCGGUGCUUGCCUUCCAUGGAGCGGUUUUGCUUGAAAUCGAACGUGGCUUAUUGAAGUGGGGUGAUUCCUUUUCCCACCUCGAAAGCAGAACCCUCCAUGGUCAGCUACUUUCACCGCCGAAAAA